rnacentral:rRNA from 1 species
GUGGGGAAUAUUGGACAAUGGGGGGAACCCUGAUCCAGCCAUGCCGCGUGUGUGAAGAAGGCCUUUUGGUUGUAAAGCACUUUAAGCGAGGAGGAGGCUACCGAGAUUAAUACUCUUGGAUAGUGGACGUUACUCGCAGAAUAAGCACCGGCUAACUCUGUGCCAGCAGCCGCGGUAAUACAGAGGGUGCAAGCGUUAAUCGGAUUUACUGGGCGUAAAGCGCGCGUAGGUGGUUAAUUAAGUCAAAUGUGAAAUCCCCGAGCUUAACUUGGGAAUUGCAUUCGAUACUGGUUAGCUAGAGUAUGGGAGAGGAUGGUAGAAUUCCAGGUGUAGCGGUGAAAUGCGUAGAGAUCUGGAGGAAUACCGAUGGCGAAGGCAGCCAUCUGGCCUAAUACUGACACUGAGGUGCGAAAGCAUGGGGAGCAAACAGGAUUAGAAACCCGAGUAGUCC